rnacentral:lncRNA from 1 species
AUCCAGUCUCUAAGAUAUCCAUAGGAUAGAUCUAGAAAUUUUUUUUUAUUUUUUCAUCAAGAAAUCAACAAGCAAUCUUCAAAGGAGAAAAAAGAAGAUGAGAGAACUCCUUCUCUCAAAUCAGCACUUCGCACCUUAUGUGUAGAAGGAAGAAGGCACCCAACCCUUGGGCGUGCUGAUCAAGGAUGCCCAACUCUUGCACAUGAUGAAAAGAGGAGAGGGAGAGGGCAUGGAGAGCUCAAGA